rnacentral:sRNA from 1 species
AUAACCCUGGGGAAUGACAUGGUGGGGUGGGGUGCACAUGUGCACAUAUUCAUAUAUAUGUUUACAUGUGUGCAUGUGGAAACACUCCAUCUCUUAUGCCAUGGUUCAGACCCACAAUAGCAGUCCCAGCAGGGAGCCCUCCGACCCUGCCCAAGGCAUCCGUGCGGUUGACACCCUUGUGUUUUGCUUCUCCAGACAGCUCAGCAGCUCCUCCUCCUAUAGCGGGGACAUCAGCAGGCAGCACAACAGCACCGCAGAACUGCAGAAAGCUGGGGCCAAGAAGGAGGAGACCUGGAAGCUGAUGGAGGCUGACAAGGCGCAGACAGGGCAGGUCAAGCUUUCCGUGUACUGGGACUACAUGAAGGCCAUCGGACUCUUCAUCUCCUUUCUCAGCAUCUUCCUUUUCAUGUGUAACCAUGUGUCUGCGCUGGCUUCCAACUAUUGGCUCAGCCUCUGGACUGAUGACCCCAUCGUCAACGGGACCCAGGAGCACACGAAAGUCCGGCUGAGCGUCUAUGGAGCCCUGGGCAUUUCACAAGGGAUCGCCGUGUUUGGCUACUCCAUGGCCGUGUCCAUCGGGGGGAUCUUGGCUUCCCACUAUCUGCAUGUGGAUCUGCUGCACAGCAUCCUGCGAUCACCCAUGAGCUUCUUUGAGCGGACCCCCAGUGGGAACCUGGUGAACCGCUUCUCCAAGGAGCUGGACACAGUGGACUCCAUGAUCCCGGAGGUCAUCAAGAUGUUCAUGGGCUCCCUGUUCAACGUCAUCGGUGCCUGCAUUGUUAUCCUGCUGGCCACGCCCAUCGCCGCAAUCAUCAUCCCGCCCCUCGGCCUCAUCUACUUCUUCGUCCAGAGGUUCUACGUGGCCUCCUCUCGGCAGCUGAAGCGCCUCGAGUCGGUCAGCCGCUCCCCGGUCUAUUCCCAUUUCAACGAGACCUUGCUGGGGGUCAGCGUCAUUCGAGCCUUCGAGGAGCAGGAGCGC